GAUGAACGCUGGCGGCGUGCCUAAUACAUGCAAGUCGAGCGAACGGACGAGAAGCUUGCUUCUCUGAUGUUAGCGGCGGACGGGUGAGUAACACGUGGAUAACCUACCUAUAAGACUGGGAUAACUUCGGGAAACCGUAGCUAAUACCGGAUAAUAUUUUGAACCGCAUGGUUCAAAAGUGAAAGACGGUCUUGCUGUCACUUAUAGAUGGAUCUGCGCUGCAUUAGCUAGUUGGUAAGGUAACGGCUUACCAAGGCAACGAUGCAUAGCCGACCUGAGAGGGUGAUCGGCCACACUGGAACUGAGACACGGUCCAGACUCCUACGGGAGGCAGCAGUAGGGAAUCUUCCGCAAUGGGCGAAAGCCUGACGGAGCAACGCCGCGUGAGUGAUGAAGGUCUUCGGAUCGUAAAACUCUGUUAUUAGGGAAGAACAUAUGUGUAAGUAACUGUGCACAUCUUGACGGUACCUAAUCAGAAAGCCACGGCUAAUUACGUG
rnacentral:rRNA from 1 species